rnacentral:rRNA from 1 species
CAGCACCUCAAGUGGUCAGGAUGAUUAUUGGGCCUAAAGCAUCCGUAGCCGGCGCUGUAAGUUAUCGGUUAAAUCUGUACGCUCAACGUACAGGCUGCCGGGAAUACUGCAGCGCUAGGGAGUGGGAGAGGUAGACGGUACUCGGUAGGAAGGGGUAAAAUCCUUUGAUCUAUUGAUGACCACCUGUGGCGAAGGCGGUCUACCAGAACACGUCCGACGGUGAGGGAUGAAAGCUGGGGGAGCAAACCGGAUUAGAUACCCGAGUAGUCC